CCGUUAAGUGAUAACGUGACAGAUGAAGUGUCACGUCAUCUCGUCUUGUCACACACAUACACUUCAUUACCACGUUAUCAUCUUCAAUGAUGUGUUAGUGAUUAGAUGUGAUGAUGUGACACUCUAUCUGCCACAUCAUCACUUAACGGAA
rfam:Glycine max cultivar Williams 82 chromosome 14, whole genome shotgun sequence.